CCCGUUAUAGUUUAAGAUUAAAACCCCGACCUGCAAAAUCGGAAUUGGAGUACUUCCCUAACGCGU
rnacentral:tRNA from 1 species